GUAGGUGGCAGGCGUUGUCCGGAAUUAUUGGGCGUAAAGCGCGCGCAGGCGGUUCUUUAAGUCUGAUGUGAAAGCCCACGGCUCAACCGUGGAGGGUCAUUGGAAACUGGAGAACUUGAGUACAGAAGAGGAAAGCGGAAUUCCACGUGUAGCGGUGAAAUGCGUAGAGAUGUGGAGGAACACCAGUGGCGAAGGCGGCUUUCUGGUCUGUAACUGACGCUGAGGCGCGAAAGCGUGGGGAGCAAACAGGGAUUAGAUACCCUGGUAGUCCACGCCGUAAACGAUGAGUGCUAAGUGUUAGGGGGUUUCCGCCCCCUUAGUGCUGCAGCUAACGCAUUAAGCACUCCGCCCUGGGGAGUACGGCCGCAAGGCUG
rnacentral:rRNA from 1 species